rnacentral:lncRNA from 10 species
CAGGAAAUACUGAGGAUAGAGGAACAGAUAAAGCAACACCAUGAAGAAACACUCAGAUACUCAGACCAUAGGACUUUGGACAACUCGACUGGCCCAGCCUUUCAUCAUCAGUAUUUAAAAGGGGAGGGAGUAGAAGACUGUUCUAAAACAAAAGAGACUGAAGAGAUAUGCCUGCAGCCCCAAAGGCCAUUUAUCCUGUGAGAGGUUCGAGUCCUGCUGGCGAGGCUCCCCAACCUUCUUUGACAGAGAAAGCACGUGAACUUGUGAGCGGCAAGUCAGGUCUGCCAAGAACAGCUACAUCUGCAGUCAACCCACGGAGGCCCUGCCUUGGCAGAGAAUCCAAGCCUGGAGGGUCUUUUAUACAGGACUCCUCCAGUUCAUUCCAGCAGAAAAGAACCUACGCCUUUUUCAAAGAAGAGAAGGACAUUCCACAAACUCCCUGACAAAUCACUGGUUUGGAUUACCUCAGUCAGUUCAAAUCUCUGACCUAAAUCCCUCGUGUUCUAAAUUAAUCCCCUUCUUCUUGCUCUUUCUUCCCACAAAGGCAUUUUUGCUAUGAAAGAAAGCCUUGCCUAUAGCUUAGUAAAUUGUCUGCACCUGUCUCUUGGCAAAACCUCAUCAAGACCCUGGAGCCACCUCUAUUGUCCUUUCUGCCAUGCCACCUUGCUUUUCCUCCAAGCCUCUGACAAUUUAGCCAAAAUGAAGAGCUAGCCUCUCGUAUGGUCCUGAUCGCUACAGCCCAUAUUGUGUUGGGUUUCCAUCUAUCACUUGUGGGUGAGGUUUUGUCUGUUUCAUGUCAUUGACCACAUCAGUCCCUGUCCCACCACAGGUCAUUUAUUCUGUACUCUUUCCUUCAUUGGCUGCACCCUCACUUGAUCCAAUUUUUGGUGAACACAGUUGCUUUCACUGCCUUAAGAAAAACAUUUGACUAUCUCAGCCCACAAUUUAAUCUCUCUCAGACAAGGAAGAUGGGUGUGAAUUCUUGUAUUACUUUACAUGGAGGCCCAGGGAGUAGUUCUCCCAUUCCUGGAGGCCUCUUGCAAAGCUUGUCAUAGAGAAGACUGUGAAAGCAAUGGCACCAGGACAAAAUAGCAGGCCUCACCCCGGGAAAGUGGGGGAUCCAAAACCUACAGCUACUUGGCCUUCACUGCCUGGUGGUUGGCUCUGUCAUUUCCUACAUCUGAAAUAGCCUCCCUCCUUGCCUACUUCCUAAAAGCCUACCCAUCUAGUGAGGUCUGGCUCUACCGUUCCGACCCUCACAAAGCUUCCUCUCCUCCCACCAGCAAGAAGACAAAGGGGCAAUAAACACAGGAAGAGAUCCUCACCCUCUCUUACAAUGUGGAAAAUGAACAUGAGGCCAAUCAGCCCACAUUUUUCACCCCUGGGGUUGUGUAAAAACAAAAUGUUUGUAAUACUCAGCAUCAGAAAGUGUCUGGAAAGAUGAGGACUCUCAUGUCCUACUUGCUGUGAUCUAAAUUGGUGGGGCCACUGUGGAGAAGAGAUUGACACUAUCAAGUAAAAUUUUAAACAUAUACAUCUUAUGAUCAAGAAAUUCCACUUCUCAUCAGCUAUCUUUGGAGAGAUAGAUACUCCUAGCAUAAAUACACAAAGAGUGUAUAACCAAAUGUUCACUGAGAGUUGCUUGAAAUAGGGACAAAUUGGAAACAACUUAAGCAUCCAUUAAUAGAGCAAUGGAUAAAUAAACAGUUGCACAGCUAUUCUAUGAAAUGCCAGGAAGUCAUUAAAUAGAAUAUAGUAGGUAAAAGCAAUGAGACCCAGUAGCAAUGAGUGUGCUAGCAUGCAGAUCCUGGUGUAUGAUAAUAUUUCCUAUGAAAAGAAGGAAAUAGCAGGGCUCCUCAGAGAAACAGCUGACUCCAGAGUGAAGGCAGGGCAGAUACAAGAUGGGCCUGGAACAUUUUUUAAUGCCAAAAAGGAAAGAGGUUCUCCAAAAAAAAAAUGAUGAGGACAUCCCCUAAGGACAUGGGAAGCGGGGGCCCACUGGCCAAAAAUCGGACAAUUUGAGCACCACAAUAAUUAAGGAUAGUAACAUUACAGACCAUUGAAAAAUCAGAACCCCUGAGUCCAUAAUAAAUGGGUAAACAAAUACGUAAGAGAGAAGGGAGAACUCUACCUUACAGCAGAAUGCCAAGCCCACUGGUACACAUGGAAGAAAUGUUACAGCUAGAAAAUCAUCAUUUUGCAACCAUCACAAUAAAGUUUGGAUCUGGCAAGAAUCAUCAACGGAUGCUAAAUCUGGGGAGAAAUGGUGAUGAGGAGCAGGCUAUUAGCAUGACCUUCAGUAUCCUCCAACAGACUGCAUAUUGGUUGAGGUUGUAAAAAGAAAAAAACAGUGACUAUAUGGUAAACAAAUCAGACAACACUUCAAGCAGAUGAUCAAAGUUAGCAUCACCAACGAGGGGCAGACAGACAUUGUGAGUGAGUACCUUGAGAAGAACUCAUCACCUAUAUAAUAUUCCGGCUGAAAGUGCCUACCUUGAAGCUCAUCAUCAAUCUAAUCAUGAGAGACCAUCACAAAACCCCAAAUAAGAAAGCGCCAAUUUUAUUAAAAGAGACUAUAUUCAAAAGUGUCAAUAUCAUAAAAUACAAAGACUAAAAAUGUUCCAUAUUAAUAGACAACCAAAGAGACAUGACAACUAAAUGCAAUAUCUUAUCCUAGAUGGCAUCUUAGAUUAGAGGGAGGAAUACAAAUACUAUAAAGGACCUCAUUUGAUUAACUGACAAAAAUAAAAUUUAGAUUAUAAAUGAAAUAAAAGUAGCAUAUCAAUAUUGAAUUUAGAGUAGUUGACAACUGUUAAGGCUUUUUAAGAGAAUAUCCUGCCAGAUGUGGUGGCUCACAUCUGUAAUCCCAACACUGGGAGGCCAAGGUGGGUGGAUGGCUUGAGUCCAGGAAUUCAAGACCGGCCUGGGCAACAUGGUGAGACCUUAUCUCUACUAAAAAUUUAAAAAUUAGCUAGGUGUGGUGUCCCAUGCCUGUGGCCCAAGCUACUCAGGAGGUUGAGGCAGGAAGAUCACUUGGGCCUGGGAAAUUCAGGCUACAGUGGGCCAUGCUCAUGCCACUACAUUUCAGCCUGAGUGACAGAAAACAAAACAGUCUCAAAAAAAAAAAAAAAGAACAUCCUUAGUCUUAGGAAUUAUGCAGUGAAAUAUUUACGAAAGGAAUAUAGCGUAUGCCACUUAUUCUCAAAUAAUUUGUAAAAGAAAAUUAAAUUUUAUAUUUAUAUGUGAUGGAUAUAUAAAAUAUACAUACACACAUAUUAAAAUACAUAUAUGCAAAUAUACAUAUAUGCAUACAUACACACAUACAUAUGCAUACAUAUAGCAAAUAGGGCAAAAUAUUACAUUUGAAGAAAGGGUAUUUGAAAAUUCUUCUAACCAUUCUUAUUCUUGCAGCUUUUCUGUUUCAAAAUAAGAAGCUGUUUCAAAAUAAAAAGUUGGGAACAAAAAAUGAUGUAGCUAUACAUGCUAGCAUAGAAAGAGCUCCAAAAUACACUGUUGAGCAAAAGAAGAAAAAUUACAAGGUAAAUCUUUCUGUGUGAUAUUUCCCAUAUUGCCUACAUUUGCGCUAAGUAAUAUAUAGAGAAUGGUCUGGAGAAGCACACACCAAAUUGAUUACAUAGUUUACCUUUGUCACAGAAGAGAGGAGACCAGGAUAGCAGAGUACUUUUGCUUAUCUAAAAUGUUUUUAUUUUUAAUAAAAAGAACAUAUUUAUGAAUUGCUCAGGCAAUUAGAAAUAACCUUUUUUUAGUCAAAAAGUACCAUGCUGGCAAUGUUGUGGAGAAAAAGGAACACUUAUACGCGUUGGUGGGAGUGUAAAUGAGUUCAACCAUUGUGGAAGACAGUGUGGCAAUUCCUCAAAGACCUAAAGACAGAAAUACCAUUCGACCCAGUGAUCCCAUUACUUGGUAUAUGCCCAAAGGAAUAUAAAUCAUUCUGUUAUAAAGACACAUUCAUGCGUAUGGUCAUUGCAGCAUUAUUCACAAUAGCAAAGACAUGGAAUCAACCUAAAUGCCCAUCAAUGAUAGCCUAGAUAAAGAAAAUGUGGUACAUAUAUACCAUGGAAUACUAUGCAGCCAUGAAAAAGAACAAGAUCAUGUCCUUUGCAGGGACAUGGAUGGAGCUGGAGGUCAUUAUCCUCAGCAAACCAAUGCAAGAACAGAAAACCAAACACUGCAUGUUCUCACUUAUAAAUGAAAGCUAAAUGAUGAGAACCCAUGGAAACAUAGAGGGGAACAACACACACUGGGGCCUAUCAGAGGGUGGAGGGUGGGAGGAAGGAGAGGAUCAGGAAAAAUAACUAAUGGGUACUGGGCUUAAUACCUGGAUGAUGAAAUAAUCUGUACAACAAACCCCCAUGAAACAAGUUUACCUAUGUAGCAAAUCCGCACAUGUACCCCUGAACUUAAAAUAAAAGUUAAAAAAAAAACAAAUAAAAUAAAGAUAACCUAAAAGAACAGGAAAAAAAUAACUUUUUUAAGGUUAAAGUCUUCUUCUCAAUUCCCAUCAGUGACAAGAAUCACAGCUCAGCUUUCCUGAGAUAGUACUUAUUUAAAUAUUAGAGCCCACUCUAAUAUUUGACAGUCUCAGAGACUAUCUGGAUUUAGGCCUUGAGAAACCUGGUCAGGAAAUGGCAGCAGCACAGGUAUUUGGAAAGACCCUGGGCUUCAGAGUCAGAAGAGUCUGAACCAGACAUGGUUCAAACUUUUGAACUCACUAACAUCACUCACUAACAGUGUGAUACAGAACAAAAGACAAAUCUCUCCGACUCUCUGUUUCUGUAUCUGUACAAAGGGAAAAUAGCCCCUCUACAGCAGAGCUGCAGUGAGCAUUAGGUAUAAUGCAUGGAAUUUGUGUGUGCCUUAGACAGCAUGUACUUUGCCCAUCCUGGGGCUGACAUGGAGCAUCUGUUUAUUGCUAUUCAUUCUAUCUUUUUUUUUUUUUCUUAAAUAAAGACAGGGGCUCACCUCGUUACCCUGUUUGAGGCUGGUCUCAAACUUCUGGGCUUAAGCAAUCCUCCCACUUCAGCUUCCUCAAGUUCUGGGAUUACAGGCGUGAGCCACCAUGCCUGGCCAUUCUACCUCUUUUUAGUGAUUUGUUUGCAUGUACUCUUCCCACAUAAACCCAUGGGCUUUUUAAGGAAGUGUCCAUCCCUCAUUCACCUCUUUGCCUCCAAAUGUGCCUCACAGAACACUUUGUACCUUGGUACCUGAAAAACAUUUGCUGGCAGAGUAAAUGAAUCUAGUCACAGAAAAUCUGUACCAACAUGAAAGUUAGCUGUAAGGCUCCAGGUUUACUUUACAGUUGUCAAAUACAGGGAAACACGGACUCUGAAGUCACCGUAUAGAAACCUGCAAGUGCCAAGAAGAAAAAGAGGUGACUAUGACCUCAUGUUCUCAGUGGAGGUGAGAGAACUGUGACUCAGCACUCCUGAAUCAAAAGGCAGUCAUAGGUGUUAGGUAAAACUAGUGCCUGGUCAAAAAGAGUUGGAAAAUGCCAAAUGAGACCAAACUAAACAGGCUUCUUUACUGCAGGACUUAUCAGGGGCUUUAAAAUGCUAAUGUGCACGAUGAACAUCCAACAGACGAUAUAAUUUGCAAUAUAUUAUAAUGUCAUCCAGAAGGUGACAUUUUUGAUAAAUCUGAAUGAUGAGGUAAAGGCAUUAUCCAUGUAAAAUAAAGGGAGAGUGAGUGUUCCAGGCAGAGGGAACAGUGUCCACAAAGGCCCUAAGGCUGGAAGGUGAAUUGUGCACUCAUGGAACUGAAAGGUGAAAAGGCGUGGAGGCAGAUGAGCCCAAGGAAAAGCAUCUCUCCAGGGGAAGCCGGGGAGAGAGGCCAGAGCUAGAUGGUGCAGGAUCAUGUAGGCUGCGUAAGAGUUUUAUUCCAAGCGCAGUGGGAAGUUCCUGAAGGGUUUUCAGCUUGAAAGUUAUACAGUCUAAUGUAUCCUGUAAGAUCAGAUUUCAGUUUCCUCCACUUUAAAAUGGAGAUAAAUAAGAGAAUGUGUAAAAGGUGCUGAGUACCUUGCCUGUGUCAAAAAUGAAUGGGGCCAGGUGCGUUGGCUCAUGUCUAUAAUCCCAACACUUUGAGAGGCCGAG